CUAUAAAUUUUGGCAAAAUUUUGACCUUGCUAUUGAAAUGACUAAGACUUCUUAAGGAAUUCGGGCAGAUAUAAACAGCGAUUCGAUAAAAUAUGUCAGUUAAAAUUAAUAAUUGCAUUAUUUCUUAAGGCAGUGUGUCAAUAGAAAAAUGAG
rnacentral:sRNA from 1 species